UUCAGAUCGGCAACAAGCACUCACCCUUGUGAUCUCUAUCAGUCUUUAGAUGCUUGCACUUCCAGACUUGCACAGGCCACAAAGUUUCAGCAUCUGCUAAAUGCAUGAGUGUGUGUAAAAUCUUUAGUGUGCGUGUCACAGACAGGCAUUUUUAGGGUUGCACGGCUCUUUGUCUUUAUAGUGUUUCCAAAACCAGGCCUAAACUCACCACAGCCUCCCUCUGCCUUGUGAAAACUGACUCUUUCCUUCUCUUUUCUCUCCUGGUCUCUCAUCCGCAUGAGUCACUUUCUCCCCUUGCAUGCUUGUGACUGUCUUCUUCUCUCCUCGUUAGGCCAAAGGUGACAUUUUCCAGCUGCGAUUUCCCUUCUGCUACAGUUAAGGCUUGCACUUGCAGUGGAGCGACUCUCUUGUGUCUUUCCUCUAGGUGUCUUGACAAACACAACUUGAGAAAUACUACUUUGAAUGGAAAGAGCAGACCAUCUCUUUUCGCCCCAGUGGUCUUGGAGUUGCUCUCUGAUGUCCGUGGGGGUUCCCCUCUAUUCUCUCCCUGCUGAAUCCCACCUAGUGGGGACCUUUCCCAAUCCUUGUAAAGGAAUAUGUUUCAGAAUGCUUACUGUGCACGGUUUUACAGCGUUCAAUUUGAGCUGUGUGAACGUCUGGAAAGCUUCCAAAGAGCCUCAGAUCUCCCAGCAUUCCUCAGGAGAGCUGAAAGCGAGCUGCGGCCAAACACAUGAGCCUUUCACAUGAGCUCGGUGAUCAGUACCACACUACAGCUGCCGUUCACUCCUCCCUUUGGCCUGCUAAUUCUUGCUUCUCUCUGUCCUUCUCUUGUUUUCUCUCCUGUUGUGUCCCCCCCCCCCCUCCUCCUGUCAGGGCUCACACAUUCUCUCUAAAGCUCCGAGUGAGUUUGUCUGCGGUGCGUAUCGCAAGCAGUGUAAUCACAGGGGCCUCUCUGCUGGCCAGAUGUUCAGGGUAUCCAUGCAGGCAUGGCUGAAUUCAUUGCCGAACUGACUCUCCGAACCUUUCUGUGGUUCUUAAGCAAGAUGAUUGGCUGAGAUACAGCGAUCCCAGACAUUCUAGAACAGCAACGUUUUUCGAAAUGUGUUCAAGAUUCUGCUGGACAAAAAGCUACAAGGAAUCUUUUUCUCACUCAACCUUUAAACAUCUGAACGUUCAAUAAACUUUGUUCAUUUUGUGUGCGUGCCUAUGCAUAGCUCCAGAACGACCUCAUUGGGAUCCAUAUCACGACAGUGAUGAGAGUAAUAAAAUAAAUACUCGUUUUGGUGGUUAGCAGCAAUUACAAUCAAACUUGCUACCGAAUACCGAACAUACACACUGAUGCAAUAGUGUGCUGCAAACCACGAAGUAUCACAGGUAUUGCAUAUUUUUGUUUACUUUGAUUUGAACCAGCUUAAAACUGAACUAAGCCACCUUAAAUAUCAAAUAAA